UGGGGAAUAUUGCACAAUGGGGGAAACCCUGAUGCAGCGACGCCGCGUGGAGGAAGAAGGUCUUCGGAUUGUAAACUCCUGUUGUUGGGGAAGAUAAUGACGGUACCCAACAAGGAAGUGACGGCUAACUACGUGCCAGCAGCCGCGGUAAAACGUAGGUCACAAGCGUUGUCCGGAAUUACUGGGUGUAAAGGGAGCGCAGGCGGGAAGACAAGUUGGAAGUGAAAUCUAUGGGCUCAACCCAUAAACUGCUUUCAAAACUGUUUUUCUUGAGUAGUGCAGAGGUAGGCGGAAUUCCCGGUGUAGCGGUGGAAUGCGUAGAUAUCGGGAGGAACACCAGUGGCGAAGGCGGCCUACUGGGCACCAACUGACGCUGAGGCUCGAAAGUGUGGGUAGCAAACAGGAUUAGAUACCCUGGUAGUCCACACCGUAAACGAUGAUUACUAGGUGUUGGAGGAUUGACCCCUUCAGUGCCGCAGUUAACACAAUAAGUAAUCCACCUGGGGAGUACGACCGCAAGGUUGAAACUCAAAGGAAUUGACGGGGGCCCGCACAAGCAGUGGAGUAUGUGGUUUAAUUCGACGCAACGCGAAGAACCUUACCAAGUCUUGACAUCCUGCGACGGUGCUGGAAACAGUACUUUCCUUCGGGACGCAGAGACAGGUGGUGCAUGGUUGUCGUCAGCUCGUGUCGUGAGAUGUUGGGUUAAGUCCCGCAACGAGCGCAACCCUUAUGGUCAGUUACUACGCAAGAGGACUCUGGCCAGACUGCCGUUGACAAAACGGAGGAAGGUGGGGAUGACGUCAAAUCAUCAUGCCCUUUAUGACUUGGGCUACACACGUACUACAAUGGCGUUAAACAAAGAGAAGCAAGACCGCGAGGUGGAGCAAAACUCAGAAACAACGUCCCAGUUCGGACUGCAGGCUGCAACUCGCCUGCACGAAGUCGGAAUUGCUAGUAAUCGUGGAUCAGCAUGCCACGGUGAAUACGUUCCC
rnacentral:rRNA from 1 species